rnacentral:rRNA from 1 species
UAUGUGAUCGUCUCUCGCAUAUCAAUAAGCGGAGGAAAAGAAACUAACAAGGAUUCCCCUAGUAACGGCGAGUGAAGCGGGAAGAGCUCAAAUUUGAAAUCUUAAAGGGUUUCCCUUUACGAAUUGUAGUUUAAAGAAGUGUUUUCUGUUGAGGUUUUGGUAAAAGUUCUUUGGAAUAGGACAUCAUAGAGGGUGAGAAUCCCGUAUUUGACCUUUACUUUCAACUUUGUGAUACACUUUCAAAGAGUCGGAUUGUUUGGGAAUGCAGUCCAAAAUGGGUGGUAAAUUUCAUCUAAAGCUAAAUAUUGGCGAGAGACCGAUAGCGAACAAGUACCGUGAGGGAAAGAUGAAAAGAACUUUGAAAAGAGAGUUAAACAGUACGUGAAAUUGUCAAAAGGGAAGCGUUUGACACCAGUGUUGUUUUUCUGAAAAUCAAUUAAAGAACUGUUUAUGCUAAGCUGUUUAGACUUUAUCAGCUAAUCUGUUUAGUUUUGAGCUUUUCUUUAAUGCACUUUUCAGUUAACAAGUCAACAUCAAUUUCUUUUGCUGUAAAAAAGCAUUGAGGAAGGUGGCUUGAGAUUCGUCUUAAGUGUUUAUAGCCUCUUGCCUAUGCAGUCGGAGAGAUUGAGGUCUGCAGCGUAGAUCCUUCGGGGCUAAAUGCAUUUGUGCUAAGUUAUAGCAUUUUAUAGACAACUUGUUGACUAUGAUUUGUCUUGUAGCUUACUCGCUUAUGUUAUUUUACCUACGCUUAGGAUGUUGACACACGCGCGUGCUCG